rnacentral:sRNA from 18 species
GCUACUCUGAUAGUCUCGUAGCAACCGUGCUGUAAUCAGCAGAAGAGUACGUAAUCUAACUCAGCGGCUUAGAGGAUUAC